rnacentral:lncRNA from 1 species
CAAGAUAAUACAAUUAAUGAGUACUUUUUUAAUAUUACACCCCUGAGAAGAGUAGGGAUAACAAAUAGAGAUCGAUACAAACAAAGGGAAGGAGAGCGAGCUCUACUGACCUUGGGGCUAAAUAUCAAAUCCGUUGAUUGCUCGAAAAAAAGAUGUUGUAAAUUAUUCCAGGUAUACUGAGACUGAUUCUAAAUCGAGCUAGGUAGCUACCAGUACCUAGCCAGCUGCAGGGGAACGAAGACACUGAUCAUUGGCAUGAGAUACCAGGGCAGAGGACAUGGUUCGUCGGGAUUCGCGCACUGAUCUCACACAGACAGUUCAUGUAGCCUUGGGAUAAAUUUGCGCAGCACGGCUUCAUAAAAUCUCGAUCGCCGUAGCGACCAGCAAGGACCCCUUGCCUACAAUAAACUCCCAUUGGAAGGGGGUCGCAGGGCCCUGCCUCCUCUGUCACCGGCGCAAGCGCCAGCACAAGCGCCGCCACUAGCACCAGCAGAAGCGCCGCUGCACGGGAUGGAUUCAUGGUUAUAGAUAGCUAGGGGUUGAAUGUGGAUAGACGCUCAAGGUGGUGGGUGCUUCAAGGUGGUGGGUGCUUUGCUUGGGGAGUGUGGUAUGGUACUGGUAUAUAGAGGAUGGUUUCACCCCUUCCGGAGAUCUGGGCUUUUUUAUAGUCUAUCUAUAGGAUCCUCCACCGCCCCAUAUGGGAUGAGUAGAUCGCCCUUGUGAGGAUCUGCCCUUUUUAUAAUCUAUCUCACUCUCAAACCUCCACCGACCAAGCACACCACUACUAAGCACGUUCGUCAAGCUUUAACCAUUGACUUCCAGAUGGCAACACACUGGCUAGAUCACAUCGUCGAUCACAUAUAGCUUGUCGGCACUCAGUCCUUCCUCCUUGACUCACCCAAUCGCAUCUAAUCUCUGGGAACUCAACUGCAGCCGCUCUUGUUCCUUUUUUUUGUCCUCUAUGUGGAAGAAGUAGGCACAGCUACUUUCCACGAUUUGAGGGGCACCAGGUCCAUCAAACCCGUACCCCAUGUUAGGCACGGUGAUAGUGCCUUGACAUGGGUUGCGUGUGGUGGCUAGCUUGCCUAGGUCCAGCAAGUCCUCGACCAUGUUUCAAUCCUAUCAAAUGAAGUCUUUGUGUUGGUUGGGUCUGCACUGACUCGGCCUCACUCUCGGCUGCUAUUUUUGCGUUGCAACUGAUUCUGGCCCGAAUUAAUAUGCUCUCGUCACUGCUGAAAAAUUAUUGUAAGCUGAGUAUGAGACAGUUUGCCGAGUAUAUUCUGCCGAGCACUCGGCAAGAAGCCUCCUAAACUGAGUAUCAGAAACAAAAACUCACCAAACCUCAGGUACUCAGCAAAGCCAACCUAAGAUGAGUGUGAAAACAGAAAUACACAGGGAAGCAGCCUUAUAGUGUCUUUUGACAUGCACUCGGCAAACAAUGUGGAAUGUGUCCACCGUCGUUGGAACGGUAGACAGUGCGGUCACCUUUGCCGAGUACCUUCUCAUAGCAACUCAGCAAACAAGUGUUCUUUUUAUUCCUUUCUAUUCUUUGUUUUCUUCUCUUUAUUUUUUCUUAAUUUCUUUGAGGUUCUUUAUUUAUUUCAUUUCAUUAAUUUUGUUUUCUCUUCUUUUCUUUCUUUCGUUCUUUUUGAGUCGGGUUUCCAUACAAAGUGACUGCUGAUUCCUCUGUUGACCUUCUGUUUUUUCUACACUCAACACACACUGAUGACCGUCAUUUUUUUCUACAUUCAACACACACGACACUUCCCGCAAAAAAUAAACACACUAUACACCUAUAAUGUAACAAAUUGGGCAUUUUUCGAGUCUGUUUGUUAUAUUUACGUCACAAAAUACAUUUCUAGCCAUUUAAUAGAUAUAACUUAAAUUUAAAUUGCCGAUACAUACAAUUAUUCCCUGAUGUGGGUUGAACAAUCAUAUUGUUGGACUUUGUUGGCGCCGACACUCGCAGCACCGCUUCUUUUUCUACCUCACAACUCUCUCUUCUCUCAUGUAUCUCAAGAACACACACACGGACACACCUCACCGGUGAGAAAACUAGCUUUGCUUUGGUCUCCCGGUGAAAGCACAUACGCUACAUCUUUUCUUCCAGCCCUCACGGCCUCUGCCAUUUCUCAUUGUCUUGAUAUGCAACAUAUAUACAACAGGGUAGGCCUCAUGCACGCACUUACUAGUCGGCAGGUUCGGCCACUAACACCACGUAACACACGCCCAACUAACUAUCCAGUAAUCUCUCCCAGCUAACAACUUAUCCGUGCAGCCACUAACUAACCCAUCCAUGCAUGCACUUGACUCGGCUAAACACAAAAUACUAUUGCAGCUUGCAUGCACACACAUGAACACAUCUUUAUGUGUCCACACUGCCGCAGCUACUGCUACAUGCAUUACUUACAAACAAAUAUGCAGAUACAUCAUGACAAGAUUAGUGCUAACAGACUUUAGUAUAUGCUUAGUGACGAAGCUAAAUCCGGCAGACCUCCUGGUAGGAGAUCCUAAUUAAGCUAGGCGUCUAGGAACCAUAAGGAAGAUACUAAUCUUGCAUCGAGCACUACCAAUCAAGCUUUAACCAUUGACUUCCACAUGGCAACACACUGGCUAGAUCCAAUCAUCGAUCACCUAUAGCUUGUUGGCACUCACUCGUUCCUCCUUGAGUCACCCAAUCACGUCUAAUCUCUGGGAAUUCACCCGCAACCGAUCUUGUUCCUCUUUUUUGUCCACGAUGUCGAAGCAGUAGGCACAUAUGCUUUCUAUCAUUUGAGGGGCACCAGGUCUAUGAAACCCGUAGCCCAUGUUAGGCAUGCUGAUAGUGCCCUGACAUGGGCUGCGUGUUGUGGAUAGAUUGGCUAGGUCCAACAAGUCCUCGACUAUGUUUCAACCCUUAGUGCAGAUUUGAUCUGCAUUGACUCGGCGUCACUCUCGGCUGCUAUUGUAGCGUUGCAACUAAUGAAAAAUUGUUGUAAUAAGCCGAGUGUGAGACAGUUUGCCGAGUAUAUUCUGUCGAGCACUCAGCACAGCCAGCAAAACCAAGUAUCAAUAAUAAACACUGCACAAAAUUUAUGUGAAAACAGAAACAGACGGUGAAGCAACACUAUAAGCGUCUUCUGACAUGCACUCGGCAAAGAAGGUGGCAUGUGUCCACCGUCACUGCAGUUUGACGUGACGUAGACAAUGCGGUCACCUUUGCCGAGUACCUUCUCACAGGGACUCAACAACGAAGUGUUCUUUCUAUUCCUUUCUAUUCUUUAUUUUCUUCUCUUUAUUUGUUUUCCUUUUCUUUCUUAACUUCUUUGAGGUUCUCUAUUUCUUUCAUUUCAUUGAUUUUAUUUUCUCUUCUUUUCUUUCUUUUGUUUAUUUUUUGAGUCAGAUUUCCACACGAAGUGACUGUUGCUUCCGCUGUUUUUUUUGCGAUGAGUUGCUUCCGCUGUUGACCAGCAGUUUUUUCUACACUCAACACACAAUGUUGACUUUCAAUUUUUUCUAUAUUAGACACAUUCACUAGUGGAUCCCGCCAAAAUGUGACAAGCACCCCACUGCUCGAUCUGAGACCUCCUGCAGCUUCCUACCCAGGAUGCCGAUGCUCUACCCCAUGGCUCUCAUGUCAUCACCGUGAUGUCGUGCUGCUGGAGGCCGUCACAUCCCGGCGCCAUUGCUUGACUGGAAGUCUCGCACCUUCCGUUGGACAAGAUUGUAAAUGAGGAGAAGGUACCGCUGCAGCCAGGGGCGGACCUAGAAACUAUUUUAAGUGGGGCAAACAAUAGGAGUGGGGGCACACUUUGUACAAAUUUACAUAGUUUUGACAAAAAUUCUGUAAUUUCAAAGAAAUAUAACUGAAGUUUCAUAUUUUGAGUGGGGUCCCAGGCCCCCACUCCCAUGAACGUGGGUCCGCCCCUGGCUGCAGCGUCUGCUCGUAGAUCUUCGCAACGCAGUGCCUUUGAGCAGAGGCAAGGAAGGUGUGGUGUUUUCUAGGGUUUCCCCCUUUGCUCGUAGGAGCGACACAGGAGGGAGGUUUAUGUGUUUGACUGGUGAGCACUUUAUGCAAGAUCUGGACACAACAUCUUUACAGCUAAACCAAAACCUAGAAAUCUACUCCAGUUGCUGUACUUCCUCUCAUCCAUUAAUUGUCGCUGAUUUAGUGCAACUUCAUUACCACAAAUAUUAAGAUGGACCCGAAGGAGUAGUAUAUUAUGACAGUUGUGGAAUGGACCAAGCCGAAACUAGUUAUGAAGCUUGAGAAACACAUAUGAGUUAUGCUAUUGUGCGAGGCAGAAGAGCACAUUUGUGCAUGGGAAAGUAGUAGGACGCACCCGAGUGCAUGUGCUUCUAAGUAUGUGUUAAUUCUCAUAUGACCAUCAUAUACAAGACAUGCACCACCAUAUAAGCAUUUUAAUCAUAAGUUCAGUAUAACAUUUUGCACGGAUCACUUUUGUAUCUUGUGCAUCUCUUUCUCACAAACCACUAAAUAUAUUACAGGGAUUAGGAGGCAUCAAGAAAAAGACAAUAUGGAUAGCCCGUCAGUGAAGAUCGACCAAAUUCUGAAACAGCACGAUGUGCCAAAAAAUGACCAGGGUGGCCAUCAACACUUGCUCCCUUACUACCACCACAGUAGACUCACAGACACCUUCCAGAAGUCACACCUACAUCCAGGCUGCAGAGAAGUGCCCGCACCUCGUCACAGCGGACGUGCUCGGCAAGGCAGGGAAAAGAACAAGUAGUCUACGUGACACAUCCUGCAGUGGCGGCGUUAGUGUGGGUUGUAACAGGGGUCAGCCCAUAUUGGAGUUGUCCUAGGAAGUAUACCUGAGGAUGAUGGCGCGGGGGGGUGGCUUGCAACCUCGGCGUUGUAUGUCUGCAGGAAGAACAUGGCUGUGUCUGGCGACGAUCUCACCACCAAGGUGUGCCUAUGGGUGACGAUGGUACACGAAAAGAAAUGGUGGUGCACGUACGUACACGUAUGUGACUGCAAAAGGCUCCACUUAUCUGGUGUUAGACAAACAAAUCAGUGAAUCAAUAAUGUUGAAGCAGCCAUGCAAUAAGUAGUAUUUCUAACUCAUGUUAGUAAUAAUUAUUUGUUGUCACCUAAGCUCCACUCCACUAAUAUAUGUAUAGAUUGACUAUUCAUCACCCAGGAUACACAAUAAAUUAUUCUUCACCCGAGGUAAUUUUACAAUCCUUUUAUAAAUUAAUUAUAUUUGGAAUACAAUUAGUUACACUAGUCAUCAACUCGUGCUCCUGCACGGGCUAGCAUUUUUAUGAAAAAUUUAAUUUGUACAUAGAAAGUUUAUAUUAGUAUUGUUUUGUUUGAAUAUUUUACAAUCAAAAGUACAACAUAGUCAAAAUAUAAUUUUGUACUUAUCUAUACCUAUACUAAUUCUAGACUCUCUAGAAAUUCCCAUGUUAAUCAGAUUUUAUGAGCCGUUAAUCUGGUGGGACCAAGUUAUUACGGCGUAGAUUAACCCUUAUAAAUCUCAGGUUUUUUUGUGCUUAGCUCAACCAUAAAAGUCCGAAAAUUAUUAAUAUGUUGUAGAACAAAUCUGCUGUAAAAGAAAUUACUUUGAAACCCAUCCUAUCACGUGUGUAGGAAAUAAAGCCUUUCAAAAAGGAAACCUAAAUAGAUAAGGCCUCUACCCUCUUUUCCUCUUCCCAUGAAAAAACAGCCUAAACCACAACACCCCUUGCGGAGGAUUCCCUACGCUAGACGGGUUGUGGUCGAUCUGCAGGAUAGCGAUGUUCGUCCUGGACAGAUCCCCCCUCGCCUACAACUAUGAUUUGCUGGGUCCUCGACAGACCGUCAUCCCCGUUGCAUCUGCAAACUGCAGGAUGGUGUCGCUGCCAGACUGCAACCCUGAUCCACCGCGUUUUCAAUAGACAGUCAUCCUCGCUUGCAUCGGAGUUGAGGUGUUGUUGCCAGUUUUCUUUUUGUGCGGUGGUCAUCCACUAAAGCAUGAAGGCCCGACGGUACUGUUCCUCAACAUGGAGAUCUGGUGGUGUUGCUUCUCCUCGGCACCUUGGAACGAUCUGCUAUACUAUCAGGCGUGAGGCGAGCUACCAAACUUCAGGCGCGUAAAGAGCGCAAAGCCAAGAGCUAUAUAAUAUCACACUAUUAUGUAUGUAUCCUCCUUCUCAUAGGACCCUCAAUUUGUUUUGUUCGCUCAAUCUCUAGAUAUUUAUAGGUUUAUUCCUAUUUUCUUUUUUCAGAUAUUCUGCACCACGCAGGAGACAUAUUAUAUGUUUAAGUGGUGUAAAUGUACUAUAUAUACGUGCAAGAAUAGUAAAUAUGUUUGUGACUAUACAAGUACUAACAAAAUUUUGAACUAUAAUCUUAUAGUUCCUGCAGCAUGUGGUUUGUUUUUUGUUUUUUAGUCUCCAACAAUAUUUGGAUGAAUUAGGAUAUCAUCUAUAUAGAUGGAACAGUCUGUAGCAAGCAGCAGUCAGAUUUGUUAGUUUUCUCAUAUUAUACUUGGAUCUGAUUUCUAUUUUUUCAGAUUCUAUUCCUAAAUGGCUCAUGGGUACACGUCCCUUUUUCAGGUUUCUUUCUCAGAUUUUUUCUUCUCCUGAUAGUCUAUUCACUGAAUAUAAUAAUCUCUUUUCUAUACGGUUUCUAAAGUGUAUGAUUGCUUUUCUUCCAGGGUUAUUCUAGCCAUGCCUUGGCUUUCACUUAGAUGGACAAGAGUCGGUUCUUCAGUGAGACGCCUAACUAUAAGUUAUUGUUUGACCAGUUGUGAGGUGUCUCCUAGGCACUGAAUGGAUGUUCAUGAUGUUGAUCUAUCUAAAUAUCAUGUGGUACACAGUCAAGAAAUGAGCAGUAGGAUGGUUGGUCCCAAACUAAGGUUAGUCUUAGCAUGGGAUCACUGCCGAGAUUUCUAUCGCUCAAUAAGUAACACCAUUGCUUACACCAGGUUAGAGAAGCUUCCUUUUGAAAGUUUCAUCUUUUAGCUUUGGAAGUUUUAAAUAUUGAGAACGGUAGAUUGUGCAAUUUCCAUUUCUUUGAUAGUAGGUGACAUACAAGAACACCCUUGAUGUAUUACUUUCUUUAUUUUUUCUUACAAAAUUCAUGAAGUGGUUUCUUUUUUAUUAAAAUAAUGAUAACGCUGAGUUAUCAAUACAAUUAACCAUGGGACCCAGACUUAAACGCUAGAACAUAUAAACUUGGCAAGCCAUGAAGUUAUUAAAUAGGAAAUCAUACUUACUGAUUGUGCUAUAAAAUAAUGACUGCUACACCCAAGUUAUAAUAGUUCAACACGAUGAUUGCCUAGGAGUUUGGGAAUGUGACUUUGUCAAAGAGGACACAAAUUUAACAUGUUCUGUUGAUUGACCCUACAGUAUCAGCACACAAGAUAGAUGAACAUUAAGAUUUCAUUCAGCCAAAAAAAAAUUCUAAGUUGAACACGAUAAAGAUUUUUGAUGUGUGUUAACCAGUAGACAAAUUCUAGCUACAUAGCAAAGUGAAGAGCCUUAUAUUUAAUUAGUAGUUUGGCCUUUUACUAUUCCCUAUUUUGUUGGGUAGUAACUAUUUUGAUCGAUACCACAAGAAGAUCAUUGACGUAAUUCAAAAUCAGAAAUAUUGCGGUUUGCUUUCAUAGGCUAUUUGCUUUAUGUAGUUCCCAUUAUUUAAUUCUACAACAAACGCUUUCCCAUCUAAACUUUUCAAUUCCUUCUCAUUCCUACCACUACCGUAGUGUUGUUUUCUAUUACAGGAGGUUGCACAUAUUGUGGCAAACACAAACACCAGCCCAUGGGAAUGCACAUGUUCACAAUUAUGUUAGGUUUUGGAUGGCGUGACAUGAUUCUGAUCAAUGAACUAUUUGCUCUUCUAACCAACAUCAAGGUAAGAUGAGUUUGAUUUAUCUUUUUUCUUGCUUUAUCUCUUUGUUGUUUAGUUAUUUCAUGAAAUAAGUAGAACGCAGUUGUGGCACAUUAUUUCAUCAUAAAAGCAUGUACACCACAAUGUAUUUAUACUGCAUAUUUUUAUUUUAGUCUUUUUGCCUAACAAUUCGAUAUGUCUCAUUAUUUUCAUUUGUACUUACACAUGAAUGGAAAGAAGACAGAAGGACAUGUGAAAAUUACUAGAAAUGUUUUUUUGGGUGUAGCUAAACAAUUAGAUGGGUGUGUGAAUCAAGAUUAGAUGGAUGUUCAAUCACUAGAUCACUCCUACCAUUGUGUGCAUACUAUCGAAAUGUGAUGAUGGGGAUGACAAGUUUGUCGGGCUGAUGUCUGAUGACAACACAAUGCAGGAGUUUUUUAGCGGUGGCAUAGCAAUGCUGAUGCAGUGUACAGCGUCAAAUUAUCAAAUGCCAUGACAUGAGAAAUUAUUUGGAUGGAUGCGAGCACUACUAUAUAUUGUCCUACUAUGAAGAAGUUAUUUUGCUGUUUCUGAUCAAGAUAUUGUUUAAUAAGGAAAUCCUUCUGCUUCUGAACAAAUCCAUGUGGCAACUGCCAUUGUUCAUCAAAUAUAGUUCCUGAAGUGAUCUGAUUGGACUUCAAGUGUGUAGGUUUGGUGAGAUAGUCAUUCCCUUUAUUCCAUGCAAGUCCAACAUACAUAUAGUCAAUUAGUACAAUUUUAAUAUGAAUAUGUUUGUGUGGGUAAUGACAAUGUUGUAGUGUGAAGAAACAUAAAACAUAUUAAUCCCAAAGCUUGAUGUAUUGAUAUAGUGGGGAGCGGAAUAAAAGAAUAUGCACUAUUAUUUAAUUAUAAAACAGUGUAGUUCUAGCAUAUUUAUGCAUGUAGAAAAAAAUAUCCUCCAUUCGGGAGAUGCAGCAACAAAGUUUAUUAAAUAUUUACCCAAUAUACAAAUGUACAACUUUCAUUCCACGGCGGGAAGCAACAUGUCCCUUGGUGUAAAUUGGUUUCAUAUUGUCUCAAAAUUAUGUAACAGAGAAGUCACACUCAAAUCUUGAACAUAAGUUCGAGCUGUUCCAAAUGGUGGCAUGCUUAGUUCGGACUCAUAAAAAACAUAAUAAUUAGCACCUUAGCCCGUGCAAGUGCACGGGUUGACGACUAGUUUUCAUAGUGUAUAAUAUAUGAUAUUUCCCAACUUCCUAAUAUGAGUAUAUUCAUAACACUGUGGAUCACCUUAUAUCUUUGAAAUUUUUGCAUUACGUAUUGUGCCACAACAGAAAGUGGUGAUGCCAUUAUGUAUAUUUAAUGGCUCAAGAGUUCGGUAAUUCUUAAAUACAUUGAAAAUGUCUUUUCAUCAAGUGACACCAUUAUUAUAUUUUACGGCCCAACUUUUAGACGGUUUGGGAUUUUUGUUUUUUAUAGUAUUUUUUUAUUACAUGUAUUUGACAAAUAGAUUUAGAACUUCUUUGACAUUGAGUUUUUCAAUAUUUCGAGGAAAAACUGUUUGCAUGUCACAUACAUAUUGAGAAGUAUAUAUAUAUGUAAGUGUGACUCAAUUACAUGGGUGAUUUGCAUGGUACUCAUGCGUAAUCUAUCUGAUUGUGUGUGUAUGUGUUGUUUUUUGGAUAUUAUAAAAUUUCAAAAGUAAAAUAUAGAUGUUUGCUUUAAUUAUUUGAACUGGCCUAUUCUAAAACAUCCCCUAAAAUUAUUGGAUGACCACUUAUAGAAUUUUGAAAGUUUGUUUGUCCAUUCUUGAAAAUUCAUCCUUAUGAACAUCCAAACCGAUUCGCUGGAAAAAGUAAUGGCAAUUUCUUUGGCUACUACUAAAUUUCCUUUUUACUUAUUAGUUAACUGCUCUUCAUUCUCACGAAUUCAUCCUUAAAUAUCUUAAUUUUGAAACUUAAUCUACAUGCCCUCACUUCUGAAAUAAACGGACCUCUUAUGCACAUGCACUGUUUAGCAAUUUUGAUGAAAUAUAUUCCAGGAUUUUCAGUUACAUGUAUUUUUCAGAUAGAUUCAUAACUUUUUUAACACCGAAGUUUUUAAUAUAUUCUGAAAUACAACAUGCGUGAUCGGUAUAGUACAUGAGUAUGUGUGAGUAUAUGAGUAUGUGUGAUUUAUGUACAUGCGUGAUCGGUAUAGUACAUGCAUAUAAGGGUUGUGAUUUUGUGCAUGGUGAUUUUUUGUUUCAAAAAAAUUCACAUACCUAGAUGCAUGUAUGCACAACCUAAGUGUGUCACGCAUGCAGGGAUAGCUUUAUGUAUACGUUUCUAGAAGAAAAUAGUUAAUUCUUUUUAUAUGAAUAUAAAAUAUAUUUUUAAUUUGGUAGGUGAUUUUACAUCCACGUUUCCUAGUUUACCACUUAUGGACUCUUUGGACCAUAUAAUUUUCCUUGUAAAUGCACGCACUACUAAACAGAAUGAAUAGAGUUUGCAUAUCUUGUUUAUUAAAUGGGACUGGUACGCUUACGUCGGCGGACUGGUACGCUAGGAUCGGUUGCGUACAGGAAGAGGAAAGGGAGAAGGAGUUUGUUGAGAUUACAAUAUCUAUCUCUAAUUCUAACAAAGUGAAGACAAAAAGUCUGCUCUAAAACUAAAUCAAAACCUAGCUAGGAAGCUACUCCAAUUGUUGUACUCCUUAGUGUAGCGACAAAUUAAUAGGUGGACGAAGCCGAAACCAUUUACAAAGCUUAAGACACACAUGUGAGGUAUAUGCUAGUGUAACACCACGCCGAAGAGCAUAUUUGGUCCACAGAAAGUAGUUGGAGACACCAGAGUACAUGUGCUCCUAAAUAUUUGUUCAUUAUCAUAUGACCAUGAUAUAUAGGCAUGCACAACAACAUACCAGUCUUAGCAUUCAUAGUUUACUAUUAUAACAUUUUGCGUCGAUCACUUAUAUUUGUGCUUGUCUCUCACAAACCACCACCAUAUAUAUUUUGAGAUUAGGAGGCAUCAAGAUAAAAACAGUGUGGAUUACCCAUUCGCCAAGAUCCAUGAACUGCUGAAGCAGCACCAUACACAAAAACCAUGCCCUGGACCGUCCCGAACGGAUGCUCCCUGACUACCACGGGCGGAGCAUACUGCUGGAGCCGUCCUACCCAGUGUCCAGGCGGGCUUGUGUGGGAGUGACCCGAUCAGCAAGAGGGAAUUGAUUGUUUUGCGUGACAAACCGACCACUAAGGACUUGUUGGUUUAAGCCACUGCCCGAAUGGAUUGAAGUCGAUUGGACGAGAUUUGUGGAAAAUUUGACCUAAAUGGGAUUUGAUCCCUGCCAAUAUCUGUCAAUCCCCCUCGUUUGUCAUGGAACCGAACAAGGCCUAAGGUGACGAUGGUGUACGGAUCGGGUGUUGCUACAGAAAGAAAUCAAUGAAUGUGUCGUGUGUAAGCAGCCACACAAUAAGGAAUAUUUAAAUCAAGCGAGAAGUAAUUAAUUUUUUAGACGAAUAAGUUGCACUUAGUAAAUCAAGCGAGAGGAGAGAUUGGAUCCACAUACCUUUGUAGAUCACUACGCGGAAGCGUAUAUAACGAGGUUGAUGUAGUCGAACAUCUUCGCGAUACAAAUCGCAAUCCGUCCCGCGAUCCCAUCAUGAUUUGUGCCGCGAUCUCAUCACAAUCUAGUGCCGAACGGACGGCACCUCUGCGUUCAGCACACGUACAUCUCGAUGACGAUCGUCGCCUUCUUGAUCCAGCAAGAGGGGCAGAGAGGUAGCUAAGCUCUCCGACAACCUUAUGGCGUGGCAGCGAUGGUGGUGGAGCUGAACCGACAGCGCUUCGCCGUGCAGUGCCGAAUCUAUUCUAGAGGAAGAACGAACUAGAGGGAGGGAGAGGGGCUGAGCCUUGGAUCGUGUGUAGGCUUCCCUCUCUCCCCUCUAUUAUAUAUAGGAGGGAGGAGGAAGGGGUGGCACCCUAGGGUUUCACCUAGGGUUGGCCGGCCGCACCCAAGAGGAGGAAUCCUCCUCCACCAAGGGAGGUGGAGUCCUACUCCUAGUAGGAUUCCCUCCCCAAUUGGCCUCCUCCCACCUCUUUGGUGCAAGGGCCUUUAGGGCUGGCUGCCCAGCCCACUAAGGGCUGGUGCGCCACCUCUUAGGACCAUGUGGCCCCUGGGGUAGGUGUACUUCUCCCGAUGGACCCCCGGAACCCAUUCGUCAUUCCUGGUACACCAUCGGAAAUGCCCGAAACCGUUCCGGAGCCCAAAUACCCUCUUCCUAUAUAUCAAUAUUCGUCUCCGGACCAUUCCCGAACUCCUCGUGAUGUCCAGGAUCUCAUCCGGUACUCCAAACAACCUUAGGUCACCAACAUACAUAACUCAAAUAUACCGAAACAUCACCGAAUCUUAAGUAUGCGGACCCUGCGGGUGCACGAACUAUGCAGACAUGACCGAGACACUCUCCGUUCAAUAACCAAUAGCGGCACCUGGAUGCCCAUAUUGACUCCUGCAUAUUGUACGAAGAUCUUUAUCGGUCGAACCUCUAUGUUAAGGAUUCAGUUAAUCCCGCAUACUAUUCCCUUUGUCCAUUGGUAUGUUACUUGCCCGAGGUUCGAAUGUUGGUAUCUCUAUACCUAGUUAAAUCUCGUUACUGGCAAGUCUCUUUACUUGUUCCGUAAUACACAAUCUCCUGACAAACUCUUUAGUCACAUUGCUUGCAAGGCUUGUUGUGAUGUUGCAUUACCGAGUGGGCCCCCGAGAUACCUCUCCGUCACACGGAGUGACAAAUCCCAGUCUUGAUCCAUGCCAACCCAACAAAUACCUUUGGAGAUACCUGUAGAGCAACUUUAUAGUCACCCAGUUACGGUGCGAUAUUUGAUAAACACAAGGCAUUCCUUCGGCGUUCGGGAGUUGCAUGAUCUAAUGGUCAUAGGAAUAGAUACUUUGACAUGCAUAAAACAGUGGCAAUAAACUAACACGAUUAUAUGUUACGUUCAUAAUUUGGGACUUGUCCAUGACAUCAUUCUCCUAAAGAUGUGACCCCAUUAUCAAAUGGCAACUCAUGUCUAUGUAUAGGAAACCUUGACCAUCUUUAAUCAACAAGCUAGUCCAUUAGAGGCUCACUUGGGAUAGUGUGUUGUCUAUGUAUCCACACAUGUAUUUGAGUUUCCAAUGAAUACAAUUAUAGCAUGGAUAAUAAAUGAUUAUCAUGAGCAAAGAAAUAUAAUACUUCCCCGUCUCAAAAUAACUGUCUCAAGCUUAGUACAAUUUUGUACUAGAGCUAGUACAAAGUGAGACACUUAUUUUGAGACGGAGGGAGUAAUAACUAAUUUAUUAUUGCCUUUACGACAUAUUUUCAACAGCCGGCCCCCAUCGCCCCCGCAGGUCCGCUGGCGCCCACCACCAUGUCUCCCGCCGGCCCCGGCCUCACCGACCACCACCUUGCCUGCCGACCAUUGACUCUCCCCGCGCCCCUAUCGACCCCAGCCGCGGCCUCAUCGCCCCCUAGACCUCUGGCUCCGGGCCUGUCGCCCCCAGCCUUGGCCUCGUUGACCUCGUUGCCCCCACUGGCCCCGCUGUCCCAUGCUGCUGCUCUAGUGAGCACGGGCAUAGUGGAUGGUGGCAAGGAGGCAAGGCGUGCUGGAUCUCGGGCUACUACACCACCCACUCCUCUCCCAUAAUUUUUUCGUGUGUAAUAAAUCAGAAAGGUGAUGAUGUAAUAUGUGCAAAUAGAGUAAUUUUGUAUAUUGAAAUUGUUCAUUUUUUCGUUGAUUCUUGAAUGAAGUGUUGAUCGAUCCAAUGUUGUUCGUCAUCGUCAGUUCGUGGUCGCCUCUGCAAAUGUUGGUUCAGAAUUUUUAAUAGAAAAAACCUUUGCCAUCUGUGUUUUUAUAGGCUGGCGACAAAGAUAGAUUUUGGCUGACGGCAAAUAUACCUUUUUUGUGCCGUCUGUUAUUAUAUGACAAACGGCAAAGCCGCAGUUUUUCUGGCGGCAAAAUCUUUGACGUUUUCAUAAUGAAAUGCUGACGGCGAAGCCACAAUUUAGAUGGUGUCGAAAUCUUUGACGUGUGUUAUUAUAUGGCAAACGACAAAGCCGUAGUUUAGACUUUGCCGACAAGCUUUGCCAUCAGUUGGCUAACGGCAAAAUCUUUGUCGUCUGUACUUUCCCGAUGACAAACUACCAUAUUCCUAUAGUGGAAGUAAGUUUUGGAAAAUAAUCCAAACAUGUGCAAGAUUAAAUGUUACAAAACGGCGGUUCCCAUGUUGCGGCUGACGCAUAUUGCAGUGCGGACGAUGUCUUUGGCUGUCAAGGAAUCAAACGGUGUAAACGACAUCUUCAGCGGUCGAGGCGGCGGACUUCGAGGAGGCUGAUCCCACGGUGUAGACGGCGGCUCCGGCGUCAAGGUGGCUGCCAUCGAGGAGGUGGCUGUCGACAAACAGAUGACGGCUACUAUGGCCGAGGCGGCGACUCUGACGAUGCGGAAAGCCACCCCGGACGAUGUUUGUUGUUCGCCAAUGGCUUUUUAGAUUUUUGGAAAUUAACACAUACCAGCUAGGUUUCGGUGGGGGCUGUGUUGGAUAACAUCAUGCACAACAGUCGUGGGCAACCUAUACUAUCCGCCGCUCCUAUAUAUGUGUCCUUUUUUGAACACGCACAUACACUCAUUCGUAUGAACGCACCCAUGCACAUUCUUCACAUAUGAGCACCUUCGAGAGACUGAGCCUGCAAAUCAUCUUGAGAUUUACAAAGUCAUAGUAGGUGCCUUGUCAUUGACGGGAACGUCUCCUUCCGCUGAAAGCAUAUCGCCGGAAAUCCUGAAAUAAAUUCAAGAAUAAUGCAAGCAUCAGGAUUUAAACCCUAGUGGGUUGGGGAUACCACUGUCCCUCUAACCAUCCAACCACAUGUUGGUUUACCUCCUAUAUAUGUGUCAUAGGUGGCAGCGCGGCCAAAAAUAGUUGUGUUGGGCGACAAGUAAACCCGACACUAGAACCUCCGGUAAAUUUAAAAUCGCUUGUGCCGGGGCUUUGCUAUUGGAGCCUGUCUCCAUCACGGGGUCGUCCUCAUCAUCGGAUACCUUGAGCGAGCUGGCCGACAAGCUAUCUUGGAUCCACUUGGCAAGGCGCCUCUGCUAGGCUGCGGCAAGGGCAACGACCUCAUGCUUCAUCUCCGUGGAAAGGCUCCUUCAUAGAGCUUCGCUACCUGGAGCCAUGGCUCAUGCAAUGCGAGAGAGGAGGAUGGGGAUCAACUUCUGUUGUAGCAUGAAGUUAGCCGGGUGUGGCUGCCUUUAAAUGGCGUAUCGUGAGGCCAGAUGCGUCGGGUGCGUCAAUGCGCGGCGUCGUAGUGGAUUUAUCUAUCGGUGAGCCUUCUUAAUGGUAGCACACGAAGGGAGGCGACAUUGAAUGGGAAUGGUAGAUAUUCUUCCCAUUCCGUCCAGUAACACGUCGCCGGCAAUGAAUAGGCAAGGACACUGAGGACAAGGACACGUAACAUGUGGUGCCCUCGGCCGGCGGGCCGUUUGAAUGGUGGAGAUAGUGAGAGGUCGUGUCUGAUCCCGGCCCACUUCGAUGUGGAGCGACACUCUAUAGUGACAUGAAUGCGGCAGCUGGCCCCGGACGGGAACGCAUGCAGACAAGGAAGGAGGGGGCGUAGGUGUAUUCACACGCAGGUGUAGGUGCUGUCCAGACGCACACGCUAAGGUCCCACACGUUUGUGUCUAGUUUGCGGAAGAAAGUGCGUCUGAACCGUUCGAUACAUGUACGUGUUGGAUGGCACAACGGAUGCUUGCCAACAGAUGCAGACGGUUUGAGGAUAGCCGUAGAAGAUGCCCUUAGUAGUAAAGAUUACACUGACUGUCGACUCUUUAAACGUGUACGUUGAGGUUCCUCAAGACAGUUUUUAAAAGAGAAACAGUUUAAAAGAGAAUCAGUUCUGAUUCCGGUGACCAUCUGCCGUUGCUGUUCUGAUGAUUGGUUGAUUCGUAAUACGGAAAUUAAUUACGCAUGGUUUUACUACCAAAGAUGCCUUCCAAGGUAUGUCUUUUCACUUUGCUCCCAAACCAAAUUUCUAAUGAGAUGUUUCUACAGUUCGGUUCACCAACGAUGAUCCUUUUAUUGCUUACUUUUCUGUAAAGUUUGUAAAAAAUCAAUUCAGUUUAUUACAACGUGUUCUCUUAUUUUGGUUGCUGGGGUCAGUAAGUUCGUGGCAAGACUAACAAGGGAGAUGCAUGUUUGUUUUGGAAAGUGUAACAACAAAGGACAUAUUUUAGUGAAAUCUGCUGUUUCUCUUCAUGUAGGCCGCGAUGUUUGGUUUGGAGUGCCGCAUGAUUCGGUAAUAACCCCUAUGAACAUCACCGUUAAUCGAUAGAGUCCGGUGAAGUUCCCUAAAAAAUGUAUCCCUGUGAUAUUCUAGUGUUGGCAUCUCAAUCGUGAAGUGGGAAUGCAUUGUUCUGUCAUCUGUGACGUGAACUCAAGAACGGGAAUCUGAGUCGAAUAUUUUUUAAUUUUGAUAGGAAGGUUGGUCAAGUUAGAUGAUUUUGGGAGUACACAAAUACAAACUUUUAGGUUAUUUUGCCGUGCAAACUAAUUUCUUCGCAGUAGUAUUCCCCAACUAUAAAGAUUUUGCCUUCAUGGAUGUUUUGUAAUCUUUUUUUCAUUGAUUUUGUUUUUCUUUCCAGCGUACUUGUUAAUUAAAAGAUAUAUCAUUGUAAAUACAGAACCAAAAGCAUAUGAACGGCUUGAUUUGGCUCGGACAAACAACAAGCGAUGCCCAGCUAACUUACCGAAGGAUCUAACAACACUAUACUCGACAAUGCGAUUGAGUACGUACUAGAAGAUGAGUGGCACAAUAACUAGACGUUGACACAAACAAUAAUACAGAAGGAGAGAAAGCUACACAGACCAUGGGACUAAGUAUGAAAUCCAUGGAUUACUCCAACAAUAUCGUUCAUUAUUCGGAUCAGAUUGAUGACCUAGCCAAACCGACUCUAAAGCAAGUUAACUUAGCUGCAGAGGAACGAAGACCGAUUGAUGAGCAUUGCUGCUGGUGUCAGCCGCAUGAGAUAAGGGGGCAGAGGAGAUAGUCCUUCCCGAUCGCCGCGCUGAUCUCACACAGGCAGAUUAUGUACUCAUCGGAUAAAUAUGUGCAACACGGCUUGAUCAAAUCUACAUGACCCUCGAGGAUCCCUGCUUUACAGUAAACUCCCAUCGGAACGUCAGAGCAGCGAGAUUCAUGUGCCACCGCCACCGGCAGCAGCGCCAGGACCAUCACAAGGACCGCUUCUAGCACCAGCACAGGCGCCGCUUCCUGGGAUGACUUCAUUGUUAGGUACCUAGCUAGAGGAUUGAUAUAUAUCGAUGGAUGCUCAAGGUGGAGGAUGCUUUGCUUUGAGCGUGAGGUGUAUAUGGUACUCUGGUAUGUGAAGGAUGGUUUCACCAGGGGUAGGG